UUUAGAGACCACAAAACCUGUAUACUUCGUGGACACAAAGGGUGAAAAUGAUGAAAACUCUGAAGAAAUGAUGAUGGUUGAAGCUGAGCUCAGCAUGACUGAGAGUGAGGGGCUCCAUAUUCCAGAAUCCCUCUGGUUACUGUUGCAAUAGAAUGAGCUCCAUCAGCAAGAGAUGGUUUUCCAGGAAGCUGCCUUGGUGCCAUCUCUGACACCAUGAGAUGCAAUACCAAUAAUCAACCAUGAGAAGUCAGAACAGACCACAAUUUGCAAAGAGAAGCUUGCUCUUGGAAAUGCUAGGUGAGCAGCUCUGUCCUGCAACAGAAGCCCUGCCAUGGUGUUCUGUCUGCACACAGACUCCAGCCAAGGUGCCACGGUGUGUGGCAUAAAACCUCUGAAACCAAGAAUCAAGAUCAGCCUUUCCCCAUGAGG